GGUUGCGAUCAUACCAGCACUAAUGCACCGGAUCCCAUUAGAACUCCGCAGUUAAGCGUGCUUGGGCGAGAGUAGUACUAGGAUGUGUGACCCCCUGGGAAGUCCUCGUGUUGCAACCC
rnacentral:rRNA from 1 species